UAUGACAAACUGGUUGAUCCUGCCAGUAGUCAUAUGCUUGUCUCAAAGAUUAAGCCAUGCAUGUCUCAGUACAAGCCAAAUUAAGGUGAAACCGCGAAAGGCUCAUUAAAUCAGUUAUGGUUCCUUAGAUCGUACCCACAAUUACUUGGAUAACUGUGGUAAUUCUAGAGCUAAUACAUGCAAACAGAGCUCCGACCGGAGACGGAAGGAGUGCUUUUAUUAGAUCAAAACCAAUCGGUGGCGGGUUCACGCUCGUCAUCGUACAACUUGGUGACUCUGAAUAACUUUUCGCUGAUCGCACGGUCAUCGCACCGGCGACGCAUCUUUCAAAUGUCUGCCUUAUCAACUGUCGAUGGUAGGUUCUGCGCCUACCAUGGUUGUAACGGGUAACGGGGAAUCAGGGUUCGAUUCCGGAGAGGGAGCCUGAGAAACGGCUACCACAUCCAAGGAAGGCAGCAGGCGCGCAAAUUACCCACUCCCGGCACGGGGAGGUAGUGACAAAAAAUAACGAUACGGGACUCAUCCGAGGCCCCGUAAUCGGAAUGAGUACACUCUAAACCCUUUAACGAGGAUCAAUUGGAGGGCAAGUCUGGUGCCAGCAGCCGCGGUAAUUCCAGCUCCAAUAGCGUAUAUUAAAGUUGUUGCCGGUU
rnacentral:rRNA from 1 species